AUUGAACGCUGGCGGCAUGCCUUACACAUGCAAGUCGAACGGCAGCACGGGAGCAAUCCUGGUGGCGAGUGGCGAACGGGUGAGUAAAGUAUCGGAACGUGCCCAGUCGUGGGGGAUAACGUAGCGAAAGUUACGCUAAUACCGCAUACGAUCUAUGGACGAAAGCGGGGGAGCGCAAGACCUCGCGCGAGUGGAGCGGCCGAUAUCAGAUUAGGUACUUGGUGGGGUAAAGGCUCACCAAGCCGACGAUCUGUAGCUGGUCUGAGAGGACGACCAGCCACACUGGGACUGAGACACGGCCCAGACUCCUACGGGAGGCAGCAGUGGGGAAUGUUGGACAAUGGGCGAAAGCCUGAUCCAGCCAUGCCGCGUGCAGGAUGAAGGCCUUCGGGUUGUAAACUGCUUUUGUACGGAACGAAAAGGUUUGGCCUAAUAAGCUGAGCUCAUGACGGUACCGUAAGAAUAAGCACCGGCUAACUACGUGCCAGCCGCCGCCGUAA
rnacentral:rRNA from 1 species